AUUGAACGCUGGCGGCAGGCCUAACACAUGCAAGUCGAACGAGUGGCGGACGGGUGAGUAAUGUCUGGGAAACUGCCUGAUGGAGGGGGAUAACUACUGGAAACGGUAGCUAAUACCGCAUAACAUCAGAUGUGCCCAGAUGGGAUUAGCUAGUGGGUGGGGUAACGGCUCACAAGGGCGACGAUCCCUAGCUGGUCUGAGAGGAUGACCAGCCACACUGGAACUGAGACGCGGUCCAGACUCCUACGUGGGGCAGCGGUGGGUACUAUUGCACAAUGGGCGCAAGCCUGAUGCAGCCAUGCCGCGUGUAUGCAGAAGGCGUUCGGGUUGUAAAGUACUUUCAGCGGGGAGGCGUUACCCGCAGAAGAAGCACCGGCUAACUCCGUGCCAGCAGCCGCGGUAAUUC
rnacentral:rRNA from 1 species